AUUUCUGUCACCAACGAAAGCGCAGCAAGGACACCGGAAAACUCAUGAAAUUACCGGAUAACUCGGUUAUUGCUCAUUACAAUUGCAUGGUGAGAGACGUUAUGUGUUGUCUGUAAGGAUCAGUUCUGGGUUAAAGUUCUAAACGUGGAACGUUCCAUUCAUUCCUCUGGUGAAAUCAACACAGUUAGAGCGUUGCUGUCCCAGCUGUAUCCGUUGAUUGGCAAAAUGUUCUAGAAAUCCAUUUUAACGUGUUUUAGAAGCUAGGAUGGGCAGGGAAAGCUUGAUAGGGGUUGCAGUCCUCCUCAGCAGUGCUAGCAUCGGUGUCUAUGAAUAUGCUGUUAUGGUUAAUGCAUUAGCCGCUAAUGACGUUUUUUGAACUGAACUUGGCAAUUCCAAGAGGGAAGUUGAAUAUAUUGGUAUACCUGAAAGGCUGAAUGAUUACCCUUCACAAAGAUCUUUGUCCCUCUAUGCUGGGACUGCCAC